CGUGGUCCCUUGGCGCAAUUGUUCCAUUUCACAAACCAUUCCCUUUGUUCUUCAUUUCUUUCGAUUCUUAUUCUGUUAACGACGGUGGAGAGAUGAGCGGUGAGGGUGGAGGAGUUUCGCUGCAGUUCCUGAUAGUGAGAGAACAAAUCAUCUCUUGAUUUUGUUGAUGUUGUUUUUCUUCGAAUAACAGAAUCAAUAGAGGUGCAAAUUAACCAAUGAGAAAUGAAGGUCAGGAUCCCUGCAAUCAUUGACGGAAGGUGAAAGCAUAAAUUUGAACUCUUUAUAAGUUAUAUAGGAUGAAAAACCUACUUUUAUUAUCAUCGUCUCUGUGAUUUUGGUUUCUUCUCUACGACCACUAUAUUACAAUUAUUAAAGAUAAUGAUAAAUCUAUUCUUGCCCGGCCUUUUGUUGAAGCAUCCUCCUUCCUUAACAAGAUCGAAACCCAACUCCGCAAUCUCUGCUGUGGUGCUUUCGUUCUAAGCCUUUCAGUUAGUUCUUCCCUUUUCUCGCUCUUCCCCUCUUUUUUGUUAUGCAGAAAUUUCAUGUAGGUAUUUGUUAAGGAUCCAUGCUCGAGGACUUUGAGGAGAGAAAAAGGGUUGGAUGCUUUGUUUGCAUCACGCUUCAUAACUCCGGUAUUCCAUCACAAAGGCUUUCUGCAUAGCAUUUGUCAUUAUCUUCUUUUCCAUUUUUGAUGUCCCCGUCUUUUAGCCUAUAUUGCUCUGUUAUGGGUUGUCCUCUUUGCCCUCACAAUGAGGCGUCAAAUUGCACACAUGAUCAAGCAUAAAUACAUCCAGUUCAACCUUGGAAAACAGAAAUAUGGUGGUAAGAAAUCUUAUGCAAGUAGUAGUGGCACAUUUGCAGAAUGAAUCUUUGCUGUUUGAAACAAUACAGACUUUCUGAAUAGGUGAAAAGAAAUAUAGAGGGGUAGUUGAACUUUCACCCUUUAUUUGAAGUAAUAUUUACUCAGAGUAUCAUGGAUGCCAAUGUCUGGAAGAAAAUGGAGUAGUUUGCAUUUGUUUUAAAAUACCAGGGAGAAUGAUAAUCUGGCCAAGAAUGGUGACACUAAAUUAGCUCGAAGCAUUAUGCAGAUACAGCUGAAAAAUUUGAUAGAAGCAAAUCCUCUAUUUCGUGAUAAGCUUCUGUUUCCUACUCUUAAAUCAUUGAGAUUGAGGACGUUAAUCAAUCAAAGGUAGUGAUGCUUUGGUUAUUGGAUUAACAAGAAAAUGAGAGCUUUUGAUUAUUAAUCUCUUCUGCAUCACAAAGUAUUUUAUUGACAUAUACAGCUAUAGUAUUUUAGCAUUUUGCUUAAGGUUUAUUCCUAUUAUAAUGAUUCAGUCAUUGCCUAUAUUAUUUAGUUCUUGUAUUCUUGUAUAUUGUUUUAGUAGUCUAGUUUGUUAUGACUUUCAAUUUCUUUUCUCAAUCCCUUUUUUCCCCUUAUCAAUGAAUGAAGUUUGAGUUGGCAGCAUCAGCUUUGCAAAAGAAGGCCAAACCCAGAUUUCAAGACUUUAUUUACAAUAUCACGCAUGUUCACCUCCUAAUGGUCCUCUCACACCUACACCUGUCAAUCUUCCAGUUGAUGCAGUUGCAAAGCCUACUGUUUAUUCAUCACUUGGUGAUCAUGGUUUGUGAUCUUACAAAACUUGAACAUUAGUUUACAUCUCUAUAGGAGUAAUAGUAAUCAGCCGAAUCCAGAUUAAUAUUUGGUCCUUAUUUAUUUGCUGUAGUCCUACCCACCUACUGUAGCUUCUUCUAUUUUAUUUGCUGUAGUCCUUUCCACCUGCUUUAACUUCUUCUAAUUAUAUAGUUGGUUGGAUGGCCAAUGCUUCUACUUAAUCAUCUGUCCAAGCAGCAGUUGUCACAGCAUCGUCCAUGCCUGUUGCUCAAAAUCAAGGUUAAAGAUAACAUACCAAUGGAACUAUAUUGAUAUUAGAAGUAUUAUAAUAGGAGAUAGUGACAAUUUAACCCCCAGUUUACUCAUUUCUAUAUGAAGAGGCGUGGGCAAAAUUGUGUAUUUGCUUGAUGUCACUGUUGUGGCAUUUGAAAUGCUGGAAUAUUUCGUGUUUCUAAAGGAGUGGUUGUGGAUAUGAGGGAUAGCAUAUAUGAAUUUCUUUCUUUUCAUAGUAAAGCUCACCUCUUCUCGAUAUAGAAUGUUGUAUUGUACUGGUAAUUUUCGCAGUUUUUCUGUUGGCACUUCACAUGUCGUGAUUCAUAUUUUUCAUAUCCAUAAUUUAUGUGAUGCCUCUAUAAGCAAUUUAUUUUUUUUUUAUGUUCUUUUUAUUAAGCAUAUUCCAUUACUUUAAUAUGUUUUUUCCGCCUUCUUUUCGUUUUAUCUUUCUUACUAGAAUAUUAUUAUCAGACUAUAAAAGAUAACAGGGAGGAAGGGACAGACUAGUAUUAUUUUUUCUAAUAUUUAGAAGAAGACCUCUUUGCCUGUGAUGAUUAUAAGUUUCAUAGAUGAUUAGAUUGAGAUUGACGUCAUCUUAUAGGUUGAUGCUACUUCAUUAAAUUUAUAUGCCCAUUGGAUUGUGGUAUGGGUUUAUUGCAGCUGACUGGGGGGAUUGAGAAUCCAUAGGAUUGUGUUUUGCAAGGGGAUUGUUGAAGUUUGUUUUGCCUCUUUUGGAUUCAUAGUCUCAUGUUGGCUAUUGGGAGUGAAAAUGACAAACAUUGACUAUUGAUUUGAUAAUUAGUUCUCAAUGUUUCUGCAUAAUUAAUGAUUGGAUCUUUUCUCCAUUGGUUAAGACAAGUUGAAAAAAAAGGCUUUUGUUAUGCAUGUUGAAGAGGCGAGAGUUUCGUGAGUCAAUUUGUUCUAGGAGGGUUUCUUAUUUGGUUAGUGUAAGAAGUGGGGGUGUUGUUUAGCUUGUGCAACCAAAAGGUUUCUGAUUAUUGAUGUUAAGGCUAGCAUCUGGUGACUGGUACAGCUUGGAUAAAUUUGUGUCACUAUUGUGAUUCAAUCAGUGCAUAUCAUUUUUGUUUUUGUUUUACUUUAUUUUGGCCAUUGCUUAAUUUGUG